UACGAAGGGGGCUAGCGUUGUUCGGAAUUACUGGGCGUAAAGCGUGCGCAGGCGGCUUCUCAAGUCAGGGGUGAAAGCCCAGAGCUCAACUCUGGAAUUGCCUUUGAGACUGAGUGGCUUGAGUACGAGAGAGGUGAGUGGAAUUCCCAGUGUAGAGGUGAAAUUCGUAGAUAUUGGGAAGAACACCGGUGGCGAAGGCGGCUCACUGGCUCGUAACUGACGCUCAUGCACGACAGCCGUGGGGAUCAAACAGGG
rnacentral:rRNA from 1 species